AUUUUAAUAGACAAAUUAACUGUUUUCCAAUGUUUAUGAGUAUCCUGAGUGCACUGUAGCUGUCUUCAGACACACCAGAAGAGGGCACUAGAACCCAUAACAGAUGGUUGUGAGCUACCAUGUGGUUGCUGGGAAUUGAACUCAGGACCUCUGGAAGAGCAGUCAGUGCUCUUAACCACUGAGCCAUCUCUCCAGCCCUGAGAAUGAAGCAUGAGCAUCAUGAAAUCGUCCUGAAAAUCCAGUCCGUACAAAUGGAAAGUGUCUUCUCCAAACCAAGUCGGGUGAUGGACAAAAUUCUGCUGGUAUAAUCAAUGAAGAGAAAGAAGCUGACCUCAGAUGAUUUGUGGCAGAAGAAAGAUCUAUGGAAAUGGGAAAAAGCUGUUCGUAUAGGCUGUUCUGAGAAAUAUUCUGAAAGACAUUAUUCUCUGAACAUGACAUGUCCCUCCAAGUGCCCUGUGGAAGCCCAAGAGGAAUGAUCAGCCUUCAGUGGACUCAAUUCUUUUUGUUCAUUCUCCCUUUACCACAUACGUGUUAAAUAAUAUUGUAUUGUGAUAUUGGUGUGAAAGGUCACUUGGAUCAUGCAGAAUAUGUACAUCAUAUUUCUACUCUUGAAAACUCACCAAGUGUGGUCACAGUUGUAACUUUCAGGUUGUGAUAUAGGCACAAGUUAUAGUAUUAUAUUUUAGAAGUCUUAUGCUAUGCUAUUUUCCUUUGUUUUUGUAUUUGAAGAAAUGACCUGAGGGAGUACCCAGUGUUAAAGAUUUCUCAAAGAAAUAAUAUUUACUAUUUCAACAAAGGUGUGAAAUUAUAUACUAAUUACUUAGAUUAAAAGUAAUUAAGAACCUUCAUUGACAGAAUGAACUUAUUUCAUAUUUUUAUUAGUUCUCCAAGAGUUCAAAGUUUCACAUGAUAUGUUUUGGUCAUAUUCAUUCCCCAACUCUUCUUAGACACACCCUCAAUUCCUAUACCCAUAACGUUUUUGUCCUGUAUAGCAAAAACACUGCAAGAAUAAUUACAUUACCCUAAAUAUUUUCGGAUUGUGGUCUUCCAUUCAAGCAUGGUUGAUUUAUGAGCACUUACACUCAUAGAGAAGAUAGACUCUUCCUUUUCCAGCAGUGAACAAGUUCCAGUCACCAUAGACUUUGGAUGAAAUUGUGUCCCCUAGCUCACUUCUCCAUGCUAGAAUUUGGUCUCGUCGAGCUGGCACAGGUUGUAUGCAUGCUGUCACAACUACUGAGUUUUAUGUGCAUUUGCCUUGUUAUGUCUAGAAGAUGUUUUCUUGCAUUCAUCCACAUUCUCUGAUCUUAUAUACCUUCUUCCUACUCUUCUGCAUCCAUCCCUGAGGCUUAGGGGGAGAUAGAUAUGUUUCAUCUGUGUUGAACCUCUGCAGCCACUCAUGCUCUACACCUGAACUGGUUGUAUAUAGCUCACAUGAAUAAAUUCUUUCUUUAAAAACAUAAAAUACUUUCCUAAUUCAACCACAGGCAUCCCUGACUUGUGUCCAUUAGUUGGGUGUAAGUAUCUGCUUACUUGGACUUCUCUUAGAGGGCAGCCAUGCUAGGCUCCUUUCUGUAAGCACACCAUAGCAUCAGUAUUAGUGUCCGGCCUUGAUGCCUCCUCUUGAGAUGGAUCCCAAGGAGGUCACUGGACCUCCUUCCUCAGUCUCUUCUCAAUUUUGGUCCAUGCAUUUGUUUUUUUUAGAUAGGAACGAUGCUGGGUCAGAAUUUUUGACUGUGGGAUAAACUUAUUAAUAAUAAGCUUUUCAACCAAAUUUGUUUUCUAUCCCUUGUAAAAUGUAAGUAUCACUAGUAGAAAAUCAGAUUUCUUAUUUAUUUCCUAGGUUGGAAACCUGACACUUUUAUGCUAUAUUCAUAACCCACUCUUAUUAAAAGAGAUGUUAUUCUUUCUUCUUUUUAAUGAGUACUUGUGUAGCUCAUUUAGAAUUUUCCCCAAGAAGAAUAACUAUGAAGUGAUCUUGGUGUUUAAAUAGCAAAUCUUGUUCUUUUUCUGCCCUACUACAGUGUUGGCCCUUAAAACCAUAAAUAGUUGGAUGAUUAAUACAUUCAUUCAGCUAGAAGACUACAUUGCAUUUGAAUUUCAAGGAGUUAAAUGAAGUUAAGUGUAAAGCUUGUAAAAUAUUAAAUCCAAAUAUCACACUGAGCCUUGAAUUGCUCUUUAAGUAACAUCCCUAUGCUGGAAAAAAAUCCAUUUGCAAUAAAUUUUCCUAUGCAAGCUAAAGGAUUUCAAAUUCUUGAAAGCCCAUGGGUCCCAUGUAAUUUGUAUCACUUACGGUCUUUCCUCUGAGUGCCUAGACACUCAUUGUUAGAGUGACUUAGUCUAUUUCCUUAAACUCGAGACCUAGUCAAUUAUCACAUUGUCAUUCCAAUUUUUUGUCUACAAAUGUCUUGUUGCUACAAGAAAAUACUCGUGUGCUCACAAUAUAAGCUGCAUAUUAUAAGGAAAGAACAAUGAGAUAUAAUGUGGCUGUGGAUGAUAUGUCCAGUUGCUCUUACAUACAGAGCAGAAUUUAGGGAAGAGGAAAAUUAAAAUUAAGCUUUCAGGGUAAAAUAAAAAUCGAGCUAGUAAUUAUAAAUGCCAUUAUUCAUGUACUUCAGAGAUUCCAAAAUUGCAACUAGGGUGACCAGAGGAGUUCUGUGAUGCUUGCUGUGAAAAACUACUAGGAUCAUCAAAAUGUGAAGUCUUUUUGUUGAGAGUUAAUGUAGAAUGACAUGUAGCAGAUAAAUGACAACGUAUUUCACAAGGGGAAAAUUAUGGAGAUUGAUAGUUUUGCUAAGUAUUGUCAAGAAGUACUGACCAGUAAAAUUCAUUGAAUGGGUUUGUUUUUCUGUCUCUGCCCAUACAAAAAAAGGAUAAGUUUGAGGCUGUAAGUGCAUUUUUUAUUAUCUAUAUCAGCAAUUUAGAAUGGAAUAUCUAUUAGUUACCUUUACUUUGUUAUGACAACAUACCCAGUAGACAUAAAAAAGGAAAGAUGCAAUUGGGCUCAUGUCAGGGGGCUGAACUUCCCAGUGGGAAAAUAUACUGCAGCAGAGAAGUUAAUAUUUUGGAGGAACAGGGGGAGAAGAUCACAUCUAACCUCAGUGCUCAGCUGUCUUUUUUUUUUAUUCUUUCCUUCUUAUUUUGUCCCUAUACCUAGACCUGUAUGUAUAAUAUGGUGCCCUGUGCAUUCAUGAAUAAGUUUUAUGCUCUGACUCAUGCCUGGAAAAAUUGUCAUAGAGGCAACAGGAGGAGAUGAAUCUAAAUAAUCAAAUUGAUUCUAAAUCCACAUCAGAUUGACAAUGAAAAUUGACGAUUGCAGUGCUGGAAAACACAUCUGUUGUUUUUAAGCUUGCUAUUAAGUGAUUCAUGUUAAUAAUAUGCCAAGAUACCGCAAAUAAAUAAAGAUGUUAGAGAUGAAAAUGAGUUUGCAGUAAUAUUUGUAUUCUGUGAGUAAUAAAUAUAAAAUAAUAUAACUUAAGGACAGUGAUCAUAAAUCUACAGGUAUGAGCAUGGCUCUGUGAUAGAGCAUGUCAUGUGAGUGUUCAUUGGUUUGAUUCCCACACUCCUAACUUCAGUGACAAAAAAAGAAGUUGUAUGUAUAAGAAGUCACAUUACAAUUAUCAGGGAAGCAAGAAAGAAAUGUUAGUGUUCUAAAAUAUCUGGGACAAGUUGGCGCUCAGUUGCCGUAACCAUAAAAAUUAUUGGAAAAAUAAGUGAAGGUUUGCAAAAAUGGGAAAUAUAACCUCACUAGAAUAUUGGCAGUAUUUAUAAAAGCCUUGUAAACAAUGUAAAUAAACAUUGAUUUGACACGUUGAACAACAUGCAUUUCAAAGUCUACAUGACAUAAUCUGUCAUGAAAUCUGCAUCAUUAUGUCUUUGGAGUAUAUGGACUUUUCCUAAGGUAUAAAGGAGUGAUCUGGCUUCAGUCUGUCUGUCAAUAAAGCUUCAGUCUUGGUCAUUUCAAUAGCAAGGCACAUUCAGUUUUCCUGAAUAGAGUCUUUCCUGUGGUUUGUUCUUAUUGUUUUAUAAAAAGUACAAAAAAAUUGAAAAA